UGGCUCAGUUGGUAGAGCAUGGUGCUUCUAAGCCAGGGUUGUGGGUUCAAUUCCCAC
rnacentral:tRNA from 1 species